rnacentral:rRNA from 1 species
AUUGAACGCUGGCGGAAUGCUUUACACAUGCAAGUCGAACGGCAGCACGGACUUCGGUCUGGUGGCGAGUGGCGAACGGGUGAGUAAUACAUCAGAACGUGCCCAAUCGUGGGGGAUAACGUAGCGAAAGCUACGCUAAUACCGCAUACGAUCUAAGGAUGAAAGCGGGGGAUCGCAAGACCUUGCGCGAUUGGAGCGGCCGAUGGCAGAUUAGGUAGUUGGUAGGGUAAAGGCCAACCAAGCCGACGAUCUGUAGCUGGUCUGAGAGGACGACCAGCCACACUGGAACUGAGACACGGUCCAGACUCCUACGGGAGGCAGCAGUGGGGAAUUUUGGACAAUGGGCGAAAGCCUGAUCCAGCCAUUCCGCGUGCAGGAUGAAGGCCCUCGGGUUGUAAACUGCUUUUGUACAGAACGAAAAGGUUUCUACUAAUACUAGGAGCUCAUGACGGUACUGUAAGAAUAAGCACCGGCUAACUACGUGCCAGCCGCCGCCGUAA